ensembl:lncRNA
UUUUUUUUUUUUUUUUUUUUUAAUUUAGAGAUAGUUACCAAAUUACAAAUAGCUUCAGCUUUGGAGUUAAAUAACAACCUGGUUUGAAAUUUCAGCUCCAUUACUUAUUAUCUGUGAGACUUUGAACAAAUUAGUAAAACUCUCUGAGACUGUUUUCCCCCCAUGUCAAAACACCUAUUUUGCAUGGCUAUAUAGAAAUUAAAUGAAAUAGCAAAUAUGAAAACUUUUGGCCCAGUGUAUAAUUCAUAUCAGGCACUGAUCUGUUUUCUUUUUGCCCUAACCUACUUUUCCUGCAUUAUAUACCACUACACCUCUUUACAAACCCUAUUAACAGAGCCACUCUAGACUACUUUAUUUUCCCAAGUCAUACAAUAUACUUUUGUGUUUUUUCUUCAGUUAUAUGCUCUUUCCUUCUCUACCAAAAUUGUACUCAAUCUUCAAGCCGCAGUUAAAAUAUUCAGUCCUCCAUAAAACCCUUUGUACUUCACUAGUGUGUUAAUCACUUCUUCCCAUGCACAUUCUUAACCUGUGUGUUUUAUCACAGUAUUUAUUUCAAUCUGGUUUAUAUUCUGCUUCUCCCACCAGAUUAUAGGGUCUUCAAGAACAAGGUGGGAGUUAUAUUCAUCUUUAUUUCUCCUACAUCAUAGUCAGGACACUAGACAGUUAUUGAAUGAAUGUAGAAAUCAGAUGCUGUCUUCUCUUUUUUUUUUUUUUUGAGACGAUCUCUAUCACCAGGCUGGAGUGCAGUGGCUGGAUCUCAGCUCACUGCAAGCUCCGCCUCCCGGGUUCACGCCAUUCUCCUGCCUCACUUCCCAAGUAGCUAGGCUCACAGGUGUGCACUACCGCACCUAGACAACAUGAAAAAAUAAUGUUUCAUAUAUAUGCACUCUCUCUGAAACUCUUAAAGCUUAAUAAGGAGAUGUUCUCUUUGUCCUCAAAAGCCUAUUUAUAAUAUAGAUACAUAUAGUAUACUAUAAAUAACUUUAAAUAUGGGCUACAGAUUAGCAUAUUUUAUGACAUAUCACACUGGUAUUUACAUCCAAUUAAAUUUCUCUCAGCCACAUAUGUAAUAAACUAGUUACAUGGUUUAUUACUAGUUGGACUGACCAAGCCUGAUAAAGAUAAUAGACACUAACAUUAUAUAACACUUCAUACUACAAAAAGUACUUUCACACAAGUCUCAUUUGAUUUUGAAUCCUGUGUGUUACAUAAUAUUUCUAUAUCUGAAUUGAAGAAAAUGAGGCUUGGAGAGUGACUUGUCUAAGUAAAAAAAGUUGGGACUGGUACCUACAACUCUUUACUACACAUUCAAUUCUGUUUAUGCUACCACAGAAGCCUCUAGCAAUAAACUAUUACUGAAAUAAUGUGUGCUCUACUCAUCUAUUUAGCACAAGUCUAUAAAGAACAUAAAUGUUACAUGAAAAAGCAAAGUUAUUAUAGUUUUUUCAGGAGAGACAAGAUAUGGGUCAGUGACACUGUGACAACUCAGGACAUUUUUUGCCAGCUAGCUUUUUCAGAUUGAUAAACUUGAUAAGGUCAAGAUAAAUUUAGGCACUAUAAUAAAUCUUUAAAUCAACAGUAAACUGACGAAAAAAAAAAAAAACAACAAACCACCACUUCAUAAAG